CCUACGGGGGGCAGCAGUAGGGAAUCUUUCACAAUGGGCGAAAGCCUGAUGGCGCAACGCCGCGUGCAGGAUGAAGGCCUUCGGGUUGUACACUGCUUUUAUAAGCGAGAAAUAUGAUGGUAACUUAUGAAUAAGGAUCGGCUAACUACGUGCCAGCAGCCGCGGUCAUACGUAGGAUCCGAGCAUUAUCCGGAGUGACUGGGUGUAAAGAGUUGCGUAGGUGGCAUAAUAAGUAGCUAGUGAAAUCUGGUGGCUCAACCAUUCAGACUAUUAGCUAAACUGUUAAGCUCGAGACCGUUAGGGGUAACUGGAAUUUCUAGUGUAGGAGUGAAAUCCGUAGAUAUUAGCAGGAACACCAAUAGCGUAGGCAGGUUGCUGGGACGGUUCUGACACUAAGGCACGAAAGCGUAGGGAGCAAACGGGAUUAGAUACCCGGGUAGUC
rnacentral:rRNA from 1 species